GCGUAAAGCGCAUGCAGGCGGCCUGUUAAGUCAGAUGUGAAAGCCCGGGGCUUAACCUCGGAAUUGCAUUUGAAACUGGCAGGCUAGAGUCUUGUAGAGGGGGGUAGAAUUUCAGGUGUAGCGGUGAAAUGCGUAGAGAUCUGAAGGAAUACCAGUGGCGAAGGCGGCCCCCUGGACAAAGACUGACGCUCAGAUGCGAAAGCGUGGGGAGCAAACAGGAUUAGAUACCCUGGUAGUCCACGCCGUAAACGAUGUCUACUUGGAGGUUGUGGCCUUGAGCCGUGGCUUUCGGAGCUAACGCGUUAAGUAGACCGCCUGGGGAGUACGGUCGCAAGAUUAAAACUCAAAUGAAUUGACGGGGGCCCGCACAAGCGGUGGAGCAUGUGGUUUAAUUCGAUGCAACGCGAAGAACCUUAC
rnacentral:rRNA from 1 species